AGUGUGAAGAGAAGGGCUGCUGCCGUUUUGAGAUUCUCCUGACUCAUCAGUUGAUCUAAACCGAUAGGAAAGUUCAUUCAAUCACGCUGCACAGCGCUUCCAAGUAUGAACAAAUCUAAAUGAAGACAGCUGGCAGAAGCUCUCGUCAUCUAACUCCUUCCAGAUGUGUACUUGUAUGCUGCAGAUCCUGACUGGUGACACCUCCGAUGGAAUCCUUGGAGACAUGGUGGUGAUGGGGGAAUUCAGAGACAAGCUCGGCAUUCAAAAUGACUGCCCCAAGGACAGCCCAGAAUUGGACGGGCCACAGGGUACCAUGGGCUGGAAGCUGGCCAUUGAGGGUGCUUGGCAUGAGCAGGGGCUUUGACUUUCCUCACUGCUCCAUCUUUCCCUGUGCUGGUGCUACCUUCCUCAUCAGAGCCUCGUGAUUAGCUACAAGCCUCAAAAUGAAGAGGAAAGGAGCUUGAUUGAUUGGUGUUCUGCCAUUGGGUCAGCUGCUGUUAAUCCUGUAUUUAUAUUUACCCGAUACAUCUCUCACUCCAUUUUCUGGAAUUCCCCUGCUCUGAUGGCUGCAUCGCAGAACAUUUAGCUUUCAUUUAUGUGCAGAAGAAACCAAACUCAUUUGAAUUUUGCUGCUUCUUAAGCUCAAAGUUCCCCCUGCCCCUUUUUUUUUUCAACAUUUUUAACAGGGAUCAAAGGAUGUUUUUACUCUUGCAAGAAGCUGUUUCUUUAAAGCCUGUGUUACAAGUGAUCUGGUGAGGCUGUGCACUGAUGCUGAGCCCUCUGAGAGCUCCUGUGGCUAGCACGGAUUAAAGGAACUAGGUCAAAUUUCUAAACUAUAGCAUACAUCUUUCUGCUGUUCCAGCUGGACUAUCUAUAAAGGCUGGAAAAGAAAAUCAGAGUCCUGGAAAGAGGUUUUGCUGGAUGUGCACUUCCCAGAACUCCCCCAAAAAGCAAUCCAACUGUGCAGGCUGCAGCGGAGGAUCUUCAAAAGGUUUUUCCUAAAUCAACCCAGCCGGCUGAAAUCCACUGGGAAAACUUUUGAGAAUAUUGCUUGCAAGAUGGAUGGAUAAUGCAAAAAGCACGAAAACAAUACGGAAGAAAAGACAUUUUUCUACAUGGUGCCACUCCCAGCAUUAUUUCAUGUGAACCAAAGCAUAAAUAAAUGUGUUUCUCCUUCAGCCUUAAGUGCAGGUAGGAGGACAUCACUGCAAAACAGUGUUCCCUGGCACGGGACAGAAAAUUGUUCCCAUGCAUACAGCAGCACUGCAUAAUGGCUUGGGGUAAGCAAGGAGAAGAGGUUCCCCACCCAUCAAAGCUCCUUCAGGGGAAGAAAGAGGCAGAGCAUGGCAUGCUACCAUCCUUGGUGGGAAAUUGAGUGCCAUUUCCAUCCACUGGGCAGAGGGACUGCGCUAUUGAACUUUUUUCAUCUGUAGCUUCUAUGAAACAGUGCUGGCCAGCCUGGAACUUGGCCAAAACAACAUCCUGAUUCCUCAGCAAGUGCUGUGGGAUCAGACCACAUGUGAUGAGGACCCCAGCUCCGUGUUGCAUUGGGAAGAGAUGGCCGUUGUGACCCCUGCUGUGCCCUGGGAAAGUUGUUUGCCUGUGGCUCACAGGAAGGAGAAGGUUUGCUUUCUCCAGAUCCCGGAUUUCCUCUCAGGCCUUCCUUAUGUGCUGUAUCACAUCUUACCCCACUCUCACAUGCUGGGGCCAACAAUCACCCAGGCUACUAGCCCUCCUGUGCUGGCCCUGGGGCUGCACCCUGACUACCUGGUCUGGAGAAGAGCCCCUACUUCUGACCCAAAGGUGCCCAUAGGACCGGGCAGCCUGGACACGGGACAAUCAGGCUUUCCAGCGUGGGAAAUUUCUAAAGAAGCAGUCUGUAAACCACAUUUUCAUUUAACUGGUCUAAAUAUAUUUCAGUUUCAAAACACACACUUAAAAAUAACUUACAGAAAUAUUUAUACGGACACUGAAAGGAACUUUCCAGCUUUAGGGAUUCAGCAAAGCCCACAACUGCCUUCCUGUGCAGUCACUCCUAGCCUGUUGUUGAGCCUUCUUGUUUUGAAAGCGUUGGAGUCUCUUUCUCCUCCAGUUAUCUUGCCUCACUCCACCCUGACACAUGAACUCACAGGGCUUUGCAUUCAGCGACGUCAGGACUGAUAUCGCAUGGCAGCUUUUCCCACAGCUGCAAUCAUAACUCCUUCAACAGCACAAUUUUUCUUCCAGGCUAAAAGGGUUUGGCUUGUGUAGGAGAAUUCAGCCCGAGGGAUGGGGCAUUACACAUCUUCAGGAGCUCCCUUUCUCAUUUCUUCACUCCAUGCCGGUUCAUUCAUCUGGCUAUCUCAGCUGCUGUGGGGCUUGGGGCAGAUCUCAUCCCUUGGCAAAUGAAUGUCAGCAUUGUACUGUGGGGCAAAAGAUCAGAGCUUGAAUCUUUUGGGUGGUGUGGCAAUAAAAAUACGCAAUGGUAAAGGUAAAUGUGUAGCUUUCUGCCUUGUGAUUUUCACCAUCAUUAGUUCCUUUUUAUCACUGGUUUUUGCUGGGGCAAUGUCAGCUAUCAGAGGGUCAGGAGGUGUACCAGCCACUUCCUCUCUUCUACACAGGCAGUCCCCUUUGAUAAAGAAAGGCUGGGCUCUUGCUAAAGCAUCACGGUAGGAUUGAGUACACCAGCCAAUACACUAUGUCAUAUGGGAGAGAAGCAGUCUGACAGGUCGAGACAAAGGUUGGCUGAUAAGGAUGCAUUGUGUCAUGUGCCAGUGUGCCUCAGCUUUUCCAAAGAUAUCUCCGUAACCCAGGAAUGCCUUCUAGGAGGCUGGAAAUGUCUGUAUUUCAUGUCACCAGAUUUUAUUCUUAAAUCAUGACACAGUGUUUGUUCAGUACAUAUUGCAGCACUGGUGAGAAUCUUUCCCUUGUUUAGCAGGAACAAACAGCCCAGAAGAAGGUGUGCUCACUGGGAUGAAGGGUAUUUGGAUUACAAAAAAGGUCAAAUGAGUGCAAACCCCAUUGAAGCUGUAUAAGCCACUCUGUCUGGCUCAGUGCUGCAGGAGGACUGUGCUGGAGACACGAAAUUGCCAGAGAAGCUCAGCUUGCAAGAUGCAUUUGUGCUGCUGGAGAGGCAGUAGCUUGCAUAGGAAAGACACAAACACUCCAUCAAAACCAGUUCUGUGAUGCCUUUAUGGGAACAGUUUGUGACACUUUAAUAUGUCACCACCAAUGAGUCUCUGGUUUUGAUUUUCCAAGUAAGGUUCAGAACCCAACUGGCUUGCUAAUGAUUUUGCCUCUCUCUCUACCCCUGUAUUUCUUUAUGGACGAAGAGCAAUAUGUGGGUGAGAGUGUCUUAGUGUUUUUCGUCAAACUUCAAUCUAUCAUUUCAUACAAGCUGUGGUAACAGACUCUAGGCCACCAAUUAAAUGCAACUAGCUCCAAAAUGUCACACAACGUCUAUUUAAAGUAGUCCAAACUCCGGGCUUGGAUUAAGACCCGGGCAUUCAUAAAAACACAGGAUUAAACUGAAAGCUCCGAUUUCCUUUAAAAAAGAAACCUUCCUGCUCUCUCGCUGCACAGAAACGGCAGCUUCUUCUGGAGGCCCCAAAGUUGGAGGGUGCAGCACAGUGCUUCACCUGGCAGCUGUGAUGUCCAUUUGCUCUGCUUCCUGCACUGAGGUUUUCCAUGCCUUUGAUUUUGCUACUCUUUGCGAGUUGAUGUGUUACAAAGGCACACAGAUUUUUGUUUCAGAAGAAUUUUUUUUUUAAACUCAAAGGAUGUUCGUUUUUUAAACCCAAUCUAUUUCUGUGAACGAGGUCUUUCUGUGGUCAUGCUCAGAGAUCAUAGCAGAUAAUUUGGUACUUGGAGUGUAGUGGUACCGAAAGCCUUGGGUGCCUUAACUUUUCCCUGUAAAUACUACUGGAAAUGAGUAAGUGGAACAGCUGCCUUACAUUUACAUCAAGAAUGAGACUGAAGCCUGUACCAGGAACAGAGAACCUCAGGGUCUGCACUAUGGGAGUUCCUGGGAGCUCUGCAGCAAGGGGACCAGCUUCCCACUAUGCUCUGGCAAGAUCUGGCCAACCAGCACACCAAUUUCAGACCAAGCCAGUAGAGGUCACAGUAGGUCCAACGAAUUCCCCAUGCCCUCCUCCCAGCCAAGCCUACCCUCACAUCUCGAACAGUUCAGCUCUGACUGUUAUUAAACCCUCUUCCAACUCUACAACCUAAGCAGUCCAGUGCAGACAAUCUUUGGGUGCUUUUCUGGAGGGAAAAAUCAGAUUCUGGUGAGUUGAGCAGUGCCUACUUUCCCCACUGUGUGCUCCCACUACAACUAGAGUGUAGUACCUUGGAGGUGAAAUCUGUCAUGUGGGUGUGGAUAUUUUUCUUCAUAUCAUUCCACAGAGGGAAAACACCAGACCUGCCAGAUUGUCAUGGUCCCUUAUCUUCCCAGACCUCUCACCUUCAUCCAACCUGUGCCAAGUUCAUGCCAGCCUAGAUGACAUUCCCACUGCUGAAAGUCCCAAAGGUGAUUGGGUCUGCAUAGGACAGAAGAUCAUACCUGCCCAUGCUGCACUGUCUGCAGGGCAGCAAAUGCUCUAGGACAAUCACUUGAACAUCUUCAUGCUGUAACUGACAUGGAUCCUUGAUGUCCUAGGCUCCCUUGGGGUCUUUCACAAGAGUUGAGACGUGCUCAAGGAGGAACAGGCACUGCAGAGGGAAGCAGGAUUUCCCUGCACAGCUACAGCUCUGUGAGGAAACUUCAGGUGCCACAAAUACAAGACCAAAUUUGAAGCUCUUUGUAUGGGGAUGCUGGGAAUUACCUUCUUCUAUUUCUAAGAAUAGUACCUGAGGCAGGAAAGAAACCUAGAAAACUAUGCCUUCCUGAAGUAAAUAUGGCAGACACAAAGCUCUGCAUGGAGAUCAAAGUUUGCAUACAAUCGAGCAGUGGCUGACUGGGGUCUUCCAUGGGUGACAGGAUAUCCUGCCAGGAUGCCUUCCUUGAUGGAACUUCCUUGGCAUAACACCUUGGUGGCUUUGGAGUCCACCAUGACUAUGACAUCACCACCAGUAGGACCUGCACGCCCAGACUCUGCUGUCAAAAGCAUGAGAUGACCGUGGCUUGGUGAGCUGGGAGAAUGAAGCCUGGCUGCUGCUUCCUGAAGAUCUCAGCCACUGGAGGGGGACAGAGCACCUUGCUGCACAGGAAUUGUGGAUCUUUGAACAAACUCGGAGUGACAGAGUGCGACUGAAACUGCCAGUGGGUGGUGCAUGGGCAUCUCUAAUGCUCACAACUGGAAGCUCACGCUGCCCAUGCCCGCUGCAUGUAUUCUAUUUAAACCACAGCAGAGGGAGCGUUGGCAAAGCAUCUCGGCAGAGCAACCUUUUGUUAUACCUGCAUCUGCUCCCUUCUCUGUCAGCACAACUGAAGCAAAAAUAAUCCCAAUAACGGGGA